rnacentral:rRNA from 1 species
AUUGAACGCUGGCGGAAUGCUUUACACAUGCAAGUCGAACGGCAGCACGGGUGCUUGCACCUGGUGGCGAGUGGCGAACGGGUGAGUAAUACAUCGGAACGUACCCAGUCGUGGGGGAUAACGUAGCGAAAGUUACGCUAAUACCGCAUACGUCCUGAGGGAGAAAGCGGGGGACCGUAAGGCCUCGCGCGAUUGGAGCGGCCGAUGGCGGAUUAGCUAGUUGGUGGGGUAAAGGCCUACCAAGGCGACGAUCCGUAGCGGGUCUGAGAGGACCGCCCGCCACACUGGAACUGAGACGCGGUCCAGACUCCUACGGGAGGCAGCAGUGGGGAAUUUUGGACAAUGGGCGAAAGCCUGGCCCAGCCAUUCCGCGUGAGUGAAGAAGGCCUUCGGGUUGUAAAGCUCUUUCGGCAGGGAAGAAACGGCUUGGGAUAAUACCCCGGGCUAAUGACGGUACCUGAAGAAGAAGCACCGGCUAACUACGUGCCAGCCGCCGCGGUAA